rnacentral:rRNA from 1 species
GAUGAACGCUGGCGGCGUGCCUAAUACAUGCAAGUCGAGCGAACAGACGAGGAGCUUGCUCCUCUGACGUUAGCGGCGGACGGGUGAGUAACACGUGGAUAACCUACCUAUAAGACUGGGAUAACUUCGGGAAACCGGAGCUAAUACCGGAUAAUAUAUUGAACCGCAUGGUUCAAUAGUGAAAGACGGUUUUGCUGCCACUUAUAGAUGGAUCCGCGCCGCAUUAGCUAGUUGGUAAGGUAACGGCUUACCAAGGCGACGAUGCGUAGCCGACCUGAGAGGGUGAUCGGCCACACUGGAACUGAGACACGGUCCAGACUCCUACGGGAGGCAGCAGUAGGGAAUCUUCCGCAAUGGGCGAAAGCCUGACGGAGCAACGCCGCGUGAGUGAUGAAGGUCUUCGGAUCGUAAAACUCUGUUAUUAGGGAAGAACAAAUGUGUAAGUAACUAUGCACGUCUUGACGGUACCUAAUCAGAAAGCCACGGCUAACUACGU